UCAAGCGAAUAAGUGCAUGUGGUGGAUGCCUUGGCGAUCACAGGCGAUGAAGGACGUAGUAGCUUGCGAAAAGCUGCGGGGAGCUGGCAAACGAGCUUUGAUCCGCAGAUGUCCGAAUGGGGAAACCCGGCCCGUAUGGGUCAUCCCUUGCUGAAUACAUAGGCAAGGGAGGCGAACGCAGUGAACUGAAACAUCUAAGUAGCUGCAGGAAAAGAAAUCAACCGAGAUUCCCAAAGUAGUGGCGAGCGAAAUGGGAACAGCCUUGUACUCUUUAGCAGUAUUGUUAGCGGAACGGAAUGGAAAGUCCGGCCAUAGUGGGUGAUAGCCCCGUACGCGAAAACAGUAUUGUGGAACUAGGUGUACGACAAGUAGGGCGGGACACGUGAAAUCCUGUCUGAAGAUGGGGGGACCAUCCUCCAAGGCUAAAUACUCGUGAUCGACCGAUAGUGAACCAGUACCGUGAGGGAAAGGCGAAAAGAACCCCGGGAGGGGAGUGAAAUAGAUCCUGAAACCGCAUGCAUACAAACAGUCGGAGCCUGGAAACGGGUGACGGCGUACCUUUUGUAUAAUGGGUCAGCGACUUACAUUCAGUGGCAAGCUUAACCGAUUAGGGAAGGCGUAGCGAAAGCGAGUCCGAAUAGGGCGUUCAGUCGCUGGGUGUAGACCCGAAACCAAGUGAUCUAUCCAUGGCCAGGUUGAAGGUGCGGUAACACGUACUGGAGGACCGAACCCACUAACGUUGAAAAGUUAGGGGAUGAGCUGUGGAUAGGGGUGAAAGGCUAAACAAACUUGGAAAUAGCUGGUUCUCUCCGAAAACUAUUUAGGUAGUGCCUCGUGUCUCACCUUCGGGGGUAGAGCACUGUCAUGGUUGGGGGGUCUAUUGCUGAUUACCCCGCCAUAGCAAACUCCGAAUACCGAAGAGUGCAAUCACGGGAGACAGACAUCGGGUGCUAACGUCCGGUGUCAAGAGGGAAACAACCCAGACCGCCAGCUAAGGUCCCUAAGAUUGGCUAAGUGGGAAACGAAGUGGGAAGGCUAAAACAGUCAGGAGGUUGGCUUAGAAGCAGCCACCCUUUAAAGAAAGCGUAAUAGCUCACUGAUCGAGUCGUCCUGCGCGGAAGAUGUAACGGGGCUAAGCCAGUCACCGAAGCUGCGGAUGCACGUAAGUGCAUGGUAGGAGAGCGUUCUGUAAGCCUGUGAAGGUGUCUUGUAAAGGAUGCUGGAGGUAUCAGAAGUGCGAAUGCUGACAUGAGUAGCGAUAAAGGGGGUGAAAGGCCCCCUCGCCGUAAGCCCAAGGUUUCCUACGCAACGUUCAUCGGCGUAGGGUGAGUCGGCCCCUAAGGCGAGGCAGAGAUGCGUAGCUGAUGGGAAGCAGGUUAAUAUUCCUGCACCGUCGUAUGAUGCGAUGGGGGGACGGAUCGCGGAAGGUUGUCCGGGUGUUGGAAGUCCCGGUCCCUACAUUGGAGAUGGCACUUAGGCAAAUCCGGGUGCGUGAUUCAAGGGUGUGGGGCGAGCGACGUUAGGUCGCGAAGCAAUUGGAAGUGGUUCCAAGAAAAGCCUCUAAGCUUCAGUCAUACGAGACCGUACCGCAAACCGACACAGGUGGGCGAGAUGAGUAUUCUAAGGCGCUUGAGAGAACUCGGGAGAAGGAACUCGGCAAAUUGGUACCGUAACUUCGGGAUAAGGUACGCCCUUGUAGUUUGACUGGCUCGCGCCAGAAGGAUGAAGGGGUUGCAAUAAAAUGGUGGCUGCGACUGUUUAAUAAAAACACAGCACUCUGCAAACACGAAAGUGGACGUAUAGGGUGUGACGCCUGCCCGGUGCCGGAAGAUUAAAUGAUGGGGUGCAAGCUCUUGAUUGAAGUCCCGGUAAACGGCGGCCGUAACUAUAACGGUCCUAAGGUAGCGAAAUUCCUUGUCGGGUAAGUUCCGACCUGCACGAAUGGCGUAACGAUGGCCACACUGUCUCCUCCCGAGACUCAGCGAAGUUGAAGUGUUUGUGAUGAUGCAAUCUCCCCGCGGCUAGACGGAAAGACCCCAUGAACCUUUACUGUAGCUUUGCAUUGGACUUUGAACCGAUCUGUGUAGGAUAGGUGGGAGGCUUUGAAACCGGGACGCUAGUUUCGGUGGAGCCGACCUUGAAAUACCACCCUGGUUUGUUUGAGGUUCUAACCUUGGCCCGUGAAUCCGGGUCGGGGACAGUGCAUGGUAGGCAGUUUGACUGGGGCGGUCUCCUCCCAAAGUGUAACGGAGGAGUUCGAAGGUACGCUUGGUACGGUCGGACAUCGUACCUAAAGUGCAAUGGCAAAAGCGUGCUUAACUGCGAGACCGACAAGUCGAGCAGGUGCGAAAGCAGGACAUAGUGAUCCGGUGGUUCUGUAUGGAAGGGCCAUCGCUCAACGGAUAAAAGGUACUCUGGGGAUAACAGGCUGAUACCGCCCAAGAGUUCAUAUCGACGGCGGUGUUUGGCACCUCGAUGUCGGCUCAUCUCAUCCUGGGGCUGUAGCCGGUCCCAAGGGUAUGGCUGUUCGCCAUUUAAAGAGGUACGUGAGCUGGGUUUAAAACGUCGUGAGACAGUUUGGUCCCUAUCUGCCGUGGGCGUUGGAAUCUUGACGGGGGCUGCUCCUAGUACGAGAGGACCGGAGUGGACGUACCGCUGGUGUACCUGUUGUCUCGCCAGAGGCAUCGCAGGGUAGCUAUGUACGGAAGAGAUAACCGCUGAAAGCAUCUAAGCGGGAAACUCGCCUGAAGAUGAGGAUUCCCUGGAGACUUGAUCUCCCUGAAGGGUCGUUCGAGACCAGGACGUUGAUAGGCUGGGUGUGGAAGCGCAGUAAUGCGUUCAGCUAACCAGUACUAAUUGCCCGUGCGGCUUGAUCC
rnacentral:rRNA from 1 species